CAGUAGCCGCGGGAAAACGUAGGUGGCAAGCGUUGUCCGGAAUUAUUGGGCGUAAAGCGCGCGCAGGCGGAUAGGUCAGUCUGUCUUAAAAGUUCGGGGCUUAACCCCGUGAUGGGAUGGAAACUGCCAAUCUAGAGUAUCGGAGAGGAAAGUGGAAUUCCUAGUGUAGCGGUGAAAUGCGUAGAUAUUAGGAAGAACACCAGUGGCGAAGGCGACUUUCUGGACGAAAACUGACGCUGAGGCGCGAAAGCCAGGGGAGCGAACGGGAUUAGAUACCCCAGUAGUCCCUGUCUCUUAUACA
rnacentral:rRNA from 1 species